rnacentral:rRNA from 1 species
GGCACAAGCGGUGGAGCAUGUGGUUUAAUUCGAUGCAACGCGAAGAACCUUACCUACUCUUGACAUCCAGCGAAGCCUUUAGAGAUAGAGGCGUGCCUUCGGGAGCGCUGAGACAGGUGCUGCAUGGCUGUCGUCAGCUCGUGUUGUGAAAUGUUGGGUUAAGUCCCGCAACGAGCGCAACCCUUAUCCUUGUUUGCCAGCACAUAAUGGUGGGAACUCCAGGGAGACUGCCGGUGAUAAACCGGAGGAAGGUGGGGACGACGUCAAGUCAUCAUGGCCCUUACGAGUAGGGCUACACACGUGCUACAAUGGCAGAUACAGAGGGCAGCGAGACAGCGAUGUUUAGCGAAUCCCUUAAAGUUUGUCGUAGUCCGGAUUGGAGUCUGCAACUCGACUCCAUGAAGUCGGAAUCGCUAGUAAUCGUGGAUCAGAAUGCCACGGUGAAUACGUUCCCGGGCCUUGUACACACCGCCCGUCACACCAUGGGAGUGGGCUGCACCAGAAGUAGAUAGCUUAACCUUCGGGAGGGCGUUUACCACGGUGUGGUUCAUGAC